GCAGCAACUGCUUCAGUUCUCUAAGUGAAUCACGUGAGUGGUUCAGACCAGUCGAUACUGCUUCGCAUCGCGAGAGGCUUCAUGACGCGAGACUUUGCUGCGCGCACGCUUCAGCAGCUUUUUAGCAUUUGCAAUAUCUGCACAAAGGAGAUGUCAGACAGCUGCUUGAAGAUCUCACCUUUGGAGAAGACUGACGUAUUACUACUAAAGAUAAGAUUACCCCAGAAUGAACAGCAUUGCUAGACCACCCUAACACUUAAUAAUAAAUGCUGACCAAUACUUAAUCAUAUUAAUUUUUUACAGAAAGUAAUGUAUUAUUAAAACAAGCAAAUCGUAAUGUUUUGUCAUAUGACAUAGCUAUGCAUGAAUAAACACUAGACAAAUACAACCAAGGUGAACACAUCUCAAUAUACAGUCAAGCAAUGAAUGCAUGAAUAAAAUAAAUAUAUUUUAUUUACAGACAAUAGGAAACAUAAAUGAGUUAUAGAAUGAAUAAAAGUAAUCAUCACAAUAAAUAAAUAUAAAUACAAGUCAACAACACAUGAAACAAAGCUUUAUUCAAACUUAUUGUUCUUACAAUCGCAUAUUUCAGCCCUGCUGCCAUCUCACACAGCUGUGCCAAUUCUGCAGCUUUAUUUUGAUGAAGCAGCUGACCACCAUGAACACCUUCACCUGUCUUUGCCAUCUAUAAUGUCCCUCGUUGCUGCUCCUCUCAAUGGGGUCAUCUUUGAUCCAGCGGAUGAGGAAGAUGAUGAUGGACCCCUGAACCCCACAACCUUGAAGCAGGAGUGGGAGAAGAUGUGCAGGACAAUCUGGCUGCUGCUGUGUCUGCUCCAAACAUUCAUGUGCUCUCCAUGAAAAAGACUACAUCUUUAUUAUUUUAGUGGUGUAGUGGGCUAAAGGCAAGCAGAAUGUUGCUGGUUCGAUCUCCGCAGCUGUCACCGUCCUUAAAGGUCCUGUUCUUCGUGAUCCCAUGUUUCAAACUUUAGUUAGUGUGUAAUGUUGUUGUUAGAGUAUAAAUAAAAUCUGUAAAAUUUUAAAGCUCAAAGUUCAAUGCCAAGCGAGAUAUUUUA